rnacentral:rRNA from 1 species
GACGUAGGGGGCGAGCGUUGUCCGGAUUUAUUGGGCGUAAAGCGUGCGUAGGCGGCUGCGCAAGUCGGGUGUGAAACCCCGGGGCUCAACCCCGGAACUGCAUCCGAUACUGCGUGGCUAGAGGUAGGUAGGGGAGAUCGGAAUUCCUGGUGUAGCGGUGAAAUGCGCAGAUAUCAGGAGGAACACCGGCGGCGAAGGCGGAUCUCUGGGCCUUACCUGACGCUCAGGCACGAAAGCUAGGGGAGCGAACAGG